CUUCAACAACCAUAUAAUCUGACCUGCGCAGCAAUUCCAUACAAAAAGUAGAAGGUGCUGCCACGGACUUCUAGUUAUGUAUACCAAAAAACCUUUAACAUACUUAGAGUUAAUCAUUUAAGUCUGAAUUUUUGGGAAUCCAAAGUGUAUUUCCAAUUUUUGGCCAAAAUAGUCAAACUAAAAACAUAGGCUUAAAUAUUUUAUUUUUCCAUUUCAGUUAUUGUGGCCUAAAUUGUGAAAAAUUAUUUUAAUUCCUGAGAAUUCAAACUUUGAUUAAUAACACUGUAUCUACUGCAAAUGUCAC